UACGUAGGGCGCAAGCGUUGUCCGGAAUUAUUGGGCGUAAAGAGCUCGUAGGCGGCUUGUCACGUCGGCUGUGAAAUCCCGAGGCUCAACCUCGGGUCUGCAGUCGAUACGGGCGGACUGGAGUACUGCAGGGGAGACUGGAAUUCCUGGUGUAGCGGUGAAAUGCGCAGAUAUCAGGAGGAACACCGGUGGCGAAGGCGGGUCUCUGGGCAGUUACUGACGCUGAGGAGCGAAAGCGUGGGGAGCGAACAGG
rnacentral:rRNA from 1 species